AAGGUACUCCCUCCGUCCGGAAAUACUUGUCAUCAAAAUGAAUAAAAGGGGAUGUAUCUAGAUGUAUUUUAGUUUUAGAUACAUCUUUUUUGUCCUUUUUGAUGACAAGUAUUUUCGGACGGAGGAGUAGAUA
rfam:Triticum aestivum genome assembly, contig: Triticum_aestivum_CS42_TGACv1_scaffold_513676_6BS